GACGAACGCUGGCGGCGUGCUUAACACAUGCCAGUCGAGCGGUAAGGCCUUUCGGGGUCCACGAGCGGCGAACGGGUGAGUAACACGUGGGUGAUCUGCCCUGCACUUCGGGAUAAGCCUGGGAAACUGGGUCUAAUACCGGAUAUGACCUCCUAUCGCAUGGUGGGUGGUGGAAAGAUUUAUCGGUGCAGGAUGGGCCCGCGGCCUAUCAGCUUGUUGGUGGGGUAAUGGCCUACCAAGGCGACGACGGGUAGCCGACCUGAGAGGGUGACCGGCCACACUGGGACUGAGACACGGCCCAGACUCCUACGGGAGGCAGCAGUGGGGAAUAUUGCACAAUGGGCGAAAGCCUGAUGCAGCGACGCCGCGUGAGGGAUGACGGCCUUCGGGUUGUAAACCUCUUUCAGCAGGGACGAAGCGCAAGUGACGGUACCUGCAGAAGAAGCACCGGCUAACUACGUG
rnacentral:rRNA from 1 species